CCAGGGCAGCCUUCAGCUUAAUCAAAGCUUCGAGAUCUGCAUCGCCAUCUGAAGUAGCCAAGAAGAAGAGGAAGGCAACGGAGAAGAGUACGAGUAGGCUCAGGUUGAUGGGAUCCAUAGGGGAUAAGAGGAUUGCAUGGAGUUUGUAAACCGAGGUGGAUUUGCUUUCCCUUCCCUCUUCGGUAUGGGAGAAACCUGAGGGGGGUGGGGGGCCGAGAGAGAU